rnacentral:ncRNA from 1 species
CAGCAUUUCCCUUGAGCGGAAUUAUCGUUUGUACAGAGCCUUUUCCAAAUGUUUGUGUUCCAACGAUGACCGCUCUUUUCAAGUCCUGUAGCGCCCCAGCAACGAUCUCAGAAGCUGAUGCAGACCCAUGGUUUACUAGAACUACCAUGGGAUAACUACUAUUUCCUGUUUCACCUCUAGCUGUAAACUCCAUAUUCUGGCUUGGUGAACGACCCCUCGUGUAUACAAUCAGCUCCCCUUUUUUUAAAAAUAUUUCAGAAACAGCAACGGCCUGAUUUAGCAGACCUCCAGGAUCAUUUCGUAA